UACGGAGGGUGCAAACGUUGCUCGGAAUCAUUGGGCGUAAAGCGCACGUAGGCGGCCUGAUAAGUCGGGUGUGAAAGCCCUGGGCUCAACCCAGGAAGUGCACUCGAAACUGUCAGGCUUGAAUAUGGAAGAGGGUCGCGGAAUUCCCGGUGUAGAGGUGAAAUUCGUAGAUAUCGGGAGGAACACCAGUGGCGAAGGCGGCGACCUGGGCCAAUAUUGACGCUGAGGUGCGAAAGCGU
rnacentral:rRNA from 1 species